AGAAAAGUAAGCUAAAAUAAGCUAAUGGGUUCAUACCCCAUAUAUAGAAAAUAUUUUCUCUUUUCUA
rnacentral:tRNA from 1 species